rnacentral:rRNA from 1 species
UACGUAGGUCCCGAGCGUUGUCCGGAUUUAUUGGGCGUAAAGCGAGUGCAGGUGGUUUAUUAAGUCUGGUGUAAAAGGCAGUGGCUCAACCAUUGUAUGCAUUGGAAACUGGUAGACUUGAGUGCAGGAGAGGAGAGUGGAAUUCCAUGUGUAGCGGUGAAAUGCGUAGAUAUAUGGAGGAACACCGGUGGCGAAAGCGGCUCUCUGGCCUGUAACUGACACUGAGGCUCGAAAGCGUGGGGAGCAAACAGG